rnacentral:antisense_RNA from 1 species
CUUCACCGAGCCGAGCCACAGCGGCUGUUCGGCGCUCCGGUUGCGGCCGUAGGUGGCCAGCAGUGCCUGCGCCUC